rnacentral:rRNA from 1 species
CAACCGGCGAACGGGUGCGUAACACGUGAGCAACCUACCGAACUGUGGGGGAUAGCCGGCCUAACGGCCGAGUAAUACCGCGUACGCUUUCAGUGAGGCAUUUCAUUGAAAGGAAACCUACGGGACAGAUCGAGGGGCUCGCGGCCUAUCAGCUUGUUGGUGGGGUGAAGGCCUACCAAGGCGACGACGGGUAGCCGGCCUGAGAGGGCGACCGGCCACACUGGGACUGAGACACGGCCCAG